rnacentral:rRNA from 1 species
CCUACGGGAGGCUGCAGUGGGGAAUAUUGCGCAAUGGGCGAAAGCCUGACGCAGCGACGCCGCGUGAGGGAUGAAGGUCUUCGGAUCGUAAACCUCUGUCAGCAGGGAAGAACGGUCACUGUGCUAAUCAGCAGUGAAUUGACGGUACCUGUAAAGGAAGCAUAGGCUAACUCCGUGCCAGCAGCCGCGGUAAUACGGAGGGUGCGAGCGUUAAUCGGAAUUACUGGGCGUAAAGCGCUCGUAGGCGGUAUGUCAAGUUAAUGGUGAAGUACCCGCGCUCAACGUGGGAACUGCCUUUGAAACUGGCAGACUUGAGUGUGUGAGAGGGUAGUGGAAUUCCAGGUGUAGGAGUGAAAUCCGUAGAUAUCUGGAGGAACAUCAGUGGCGAAGGCGACUAUCUGGCACAUAACUGACACUGAGGAGCGAAAGCGUGGGUAGCAAACAGGAUUAGAUACCCGGGUAGUC